CCAAGCAGACUCAUGGGGUCUCUAGCCCCCUGCCAGUCAAGAUGAUAUUGCUUAGAACAAUAAGGAGUUUAAGCCCCCACCCAGGUGUGUGAGGCCAGUCAUGUAGGCAAAGGGAGCAGGUUUUCCCCUCCCUCUGGAAUG